rnacentral:rRNA from 1 species
CUAGUAACUGCGAGUGAAGCGGGAAAAGCUCAAAUUUAAAAUCUGGCGGUCUUUGGCCGUCCGAGUUGUAAUCUAGAGAAGCGUCUUCCGUGCCGGACCGUGUACAAAUCUCUUGGAACAGAGUAUCAUAGAGGGUGAGAAUCCCGUCUUUGASAUGGACUACCGGUGCUUUGUGAUGCGCUCUCAAAGAGUCGCGUUGUUUGGGAAUGCAGCGCAAAAUGSGUGGUGAAUUCCAUCUAAAGCUAAAUAUUGGCGAGAGACCGAUAGCGAACAAGUACCGUGAGGGAAAGAUGAAAAGCACUUUGGAAAGAGAGUUAAACAGUACGUGAAAUUGUUGAAAGGGAAACGCUUGAAGUCAGUCGCGUCURGCGGAACUCAGCCUUGCUUUUGCUUGGUGCACUUUCCGUUUGACGGGCCAGCAUCGAUUUUGACCGCUGGAUAAAGUUCAGAGGAAUGUGGCACCYUCGGGUGUGUUAUARCCUUUGUUCGCAUACAGCGGUUGGGAUCGAGGUUCGCAGCACGCCUUUUGGCCGGGGUUCGCCCACGUACGUGCUUAGGAUGCUGGCGUAAUGGCUUUAAACGACCCGUCUUGAAACACGGACCAAGGAGUCUAACAUGCCUGCGAGUGUUUGGGUGGAAAACCCAUGCGCGUAAUGAAAGUAAUAGNUGAGAUCCCUGUCGUGGGGAGCAUCGACGCCCGGNNNUGAGCUUCGGCGACGAAUCUGAGGUAGAGCAUGUAUGUUSRGACCCGAUAGAUGNUGAACUAUGCCUGAAUANNGUGAAGCCAGAGGAAACUCUGGUGGAGGCUNGUAGCGAUUCUGACGUGCAAAUC